GACAGAGGGUGCAAACGUUGCUCGGAAUUACUGGGCGUAAAGCGCGUGUAGGUGGCCACGCAAGUCAGGUGUGAAAGCCCUGGGCUCAACCCAGGAAGUGCACAUGAUACUACGUGGCUGGAGUACUGAAGAGGAGAGCGGAAUUCCCGGUGUAGAGGUGAAAUUCGUAGAUAUCGGGAGGAACACCAGUGGCGAAGGCGGCUCUCUGGGCAGAUACUGACGCUGAGGCGCGAAAGCUAGGGUAGCAAACGGG
rnacentral:rRNA from 1 species